GAUGAACGCUGGCGGCGUGCCUAAUACAUGCAAGUCGAGCGAACGGACGAGAAGCUUGCUUCUCUGAUGUUAGCGGCGGACGGGUGAGUAACACGUGGAUAACCUACCUAUAAGACUGGGAUAACUUCGGGAAACCGUAGCUAAUACCGGAUAAUAUUUUGAACCGCAUGGUUCAAAAGUGAAAGACGGUCUUGCUGUCACUUAUAGAUGGAUCCGCGCUGCAUUAGCUAGUUGGUAAGGUAACGGCUUACCAAGGCAACGAUGCAUAGCCGACCUGAGAGGGUGAUCGGCCACACUGGAACUGAGACACGGUCCAGACUCCUACGGGAGGCAGCAGUAGGGAAUCUUCCGCAAUGGGCGAAAGCCUGACGGAGCAACGCCGCGUGAGUGAUGAAGGUCUUCGGAUCGUAAAACUCUGUUAUUAGGGAAGAACAUAUGUGUAAGUAACUGUGCACAUCUUGACGGUACCUAAUCAGAAAGCCACGGCUAACUACGUGCCAGCAGCCGCGGUAAUACGUAGGUGGCAAGCGUUAUCCGGAAUUUAUUGGCGUAAAGCGCGCGUAGGCGGUUUUUUAGUCUGAUGUGAAAGCCCACGGCUCAACCGUGGAGGGUCAUUGGAAACUGGAAAACUUGAGUGCAGAAGAGGAAAGUGGAAUUCCAUGUGUAGCGGUGAAAUGCGCAGAGAUAUGGAGGAACACCAGUGGCGAAGGCGACUUUCUGGUCUGUAACUGACGCUGAUGUGCGAAAGCGUGGGGAUCAAACAGGAUUAGAUACCCUGGUAGUCCACGCCGUAAACGAUGAGUGCUAAGUGUUAGGGGGUUUCCGCCCCUUGGUGCUGCAGCUAACGCAUUAAGCACUCCGCCUGGGGAGUACGACCGCAAGGUUGAAACUCAAAGGAAUUGACGGGGACCCGCACAAGCGGUGGAGCAUGUGGUUUAAUUCGAAGCAACGCGAAGAACCUUACCAAAUCUUGACAUCCUUUGACAACUCUAGAGAUAGAGCCUUCCCCUUCGGGGGACAAAGUGACAGGUGGUGCAUGGUUGUCGUCAGCUCGUGUCGUGAGAUGUUGGGUUAAGUCCCGCAACGAGCGCAACCCUUAAGCUUAGUUGCCAUCAUUAAGUUGGGCACUCUAAGUUGACUGCCGGUGACAAACCGGAGGAAGGUGGGGAUGACGUCAAAUCAUCAUGCCCCUUAUGAUUUGGGCUACACACGUGCUACAAUGGACAAUACAAAGGGCAGCGAAACCGCGAGGUCAAGCAAAUCCCAUAAAGUUGUUCUCAGUUCGGAUUGUAGUCUGCAACUCGACUACAUGAAGCUGGAAUCGCUAGUAAUCGUAGAUCAGCAUGCUACGGUGAAUACGUUCCCGGGUCU
rnacentral:rRNA from 1 species